rnacentral:rRNA from 1 species
AAUCAACGCUGGCGGCGUGCCUAACACAUGCAAGUCGAACGCGAAAACCCCGAAAGGGGUGAGUAGAGUGGCAAACGGGUGAGUAACGCGUGGGUGACCUGCCUUCGAGCGGGGGAUAAC